rnacentral:rRNA from 1 species
UGGGGAAUAUUGGACAAUGGGGGAAACCCUGAUCCAGCAAUGCCGCGUGAGUGAAGAAGGCCUUAGGGUUGUAAAGCUCUUUCGCCCGCGAAGAUAAUGACGGUAGCGGGAGAAGAAGCCCCGGCUAACUCCGUGCCAGCAGCCGCGGUAAUACGGAGGGGGCUAGCGUUGUUCGGAAUUACUGGGCGUAAAGCGCGUGCAGGCGGUCUCUUAAGUCUGGUGUGAAAGCCCGGGGCUCACCCCCGGAAGGGCACUGGAGACUGGGAGGCUAGAGUACCGGAGAGGAAGGUGGAAUUCCUGGUGUAGCGGUGAAAUGCGUAGAUAUCAGGAGGAACACCGGUGGCGAAGGCGGCCUUCUGGACGGCUACUGACGCUGAGACGCGAAAGCGUGGGGAGCAAACA